CAGCCGCCGCGGGAAUACGGAGGGAGCUAGCGUUGUUCGGAAUUACUGGGCGUAAAGCGCGCGUAGGCGGUUACUCAAGUCAGAGGUGAAAGCCCGGGGCUCAACCCCGGAACUGCCUUUGAAACUAGGUGACUAGAAUCUUGGAGAGGUCAGUGGAAUUCCGAGUGUAGAGGUGAAAUUCGUAGAUAUUCGGAAGAACACCAGUGGCGAAGGCGACUGACUGGACAAGUAUUGACGCUGAGGUGCGAAAGCGUGGGGAGCAAACAGGAUUAGAGACCCCGGUAGUCCCUGUCUCUUAUAA
rnacentral:rRNA from 1 species